AUCAUCGCUGCAUCCUCCGUCGUGGCCCCUGCUGCUUUGAGCGCUGCCUCAUCGGCUGUGUCGACCUCCGAGUCGACCUCCGUCAAGGCCUUCUCUGGCCUCAAGAGCACUACCUUGUUCUCCAGCAAGGCCCAGACCUUGAGCUCUGUCCAGAAUGGCAGCCGUGUGCAGUGCAUGCAGGUGUGGAACCCCAUCGGGAUGACCAAGUUCGAGACCUUCUCCUAUUUGCCCCCAUUG
rnacentral:lncRNA from 1 species